GACGAACGCUGGCGGCGUGCUUAACACAUGCAAGUCGAACGGAAAGGCCCUGCGUUUGUGGCGUGCUCGAUUGGCGAACGCGUGAGUAACACGUGAGUAACCUGCCCUUGACUUUGGGAUAACUUCAGGGAACUGGGGCUCAUACCCGAUAUGAGCUCCUGCUGCAUGGUGGUGGUUGGAAAGUUUCGGCGGUGGGGGAUGGACUCGCUGCUUAUCAGCUGGUUGGUGGGGUAGGGGCUGACCAAGGCUGUGACGGGUAGCCGGCAUGGGAGGGUGGACGGCCACAUUGGGACUGAGAUACGGCCCAGACUCCUACGGGAGGCAGCAGUCGGGAAUAUUGCGCAAUGGCCGGAAGCCUGAUGCAGCAACGCCGCGUGCGGGAUGACGGCCUUCGGGUUGUAAACAGCUUUCGCCUGUGACGAAGCGUGAGUGACGGUAAUGGGUAAAGAAGCACCGGCUAACUACGUG
rnacentral:rRNA from 1 species